rnacentral:rRNA from 1 species
UACGUAGGUGGCGAGCGUUGUCCGGAAUUAUUGGGCGUAAAGCGCGCGUAGGCGGGAUAGUCAGUCUGUUGUAAAAGUGCGGGGCUCAACCCCGUAAGGUCAAUGGAAACUGCUAUUCUUGAGUGCAGGAGAGGAAAGUGGAAUUCCCAGUGUAGCGGUGAAAUGCGUAGAUAUUGGGAGGAACACCAGUGGCGAAGGCGACUUUCUGGACUGUGUCUGACGCUGAGGCGCGAAAGCCAGGGGAGAGAACGGG